UACAGAGGGGGCAAGCGUUAUUCGGAAUUAUUGGGCGUAAAGGGCGCGUAGGCGGCGAUUCAAGUGGCGGGUGAAAUCCCUCGGCUUAACCGAGGAACUGCCUGCCAGACUGGAUUGCUUGAGUUCGGGAGAGGUGAGUGGAAUUCCCAGUGUAGCGGUGAAAUGCGUAGAUAUUGGGAGGAACACCAGUGGCGAAGGCGGCUCACUGGACCGGAACUGACGCUGAGGCGCGAAAGCGUGGGGAGCAAACAGG
rnacentral:rRNA from 1 species